GGAUUUAUAGACUUUUUGGAGUUCAUAGCAGCAAUAAAUUUGGUUAUACGAGGGAAAAUUGACCAAAAACUGAAAUGGUAUUUCAAGCUAUAUGAUGCUGAUGGAAAUGGAUGCAUUGACAAAAAAGAGCUAUCAAACAUAUUCAAGGCUGUCCAGGCUAUUAACGGCCACACUAACAUGACUCCUGAAGAGUUCACAAACAUGGUAUUUCAAAAGAUUGAUGUGAACAAUGAUGGGGAACUGACUUUAGAAGAGUUUGUCAAUGGUGUGGAAAGCGACAAGAACCUCUUGGAAUUGAUUUCAAAAAGUUUUGACCUUUCCAACGUACUCAAAGUCAUUCAGAGCGGGAGGCGGCACAGCGUCUGAGAUCUUCCGACUGGAAGUGGGGUCUCUGAUGAGCCUGAAUAUUGCAGGAAGGAUAAUAUGUAGUACUUACAAAAAUCUUAAUCUCCUAAAGCACUGUACAGAAAAUAACUGAAGUCAAGCUCCCACAAUAACUUGGGCUUCAGAGUUUUUUGUCAUCGCUCUCCUUUCUUUCUCUUUCUCAUUAAUAAAUGUGAUAGCUGCUCAAUAUGAAACUUCAUCCACAUACAAUAGUAAAGCUAUUUGUUGAGGUACAAAUAAUUGAUUUGGUCACAUAAAGUAACAGUAAACAGUGAGAAUAGUACAAAA